CCUACGGGAGGCUGCAGUGGGGAAUAUUGCACAAUGGGGGAAACCCUGAUGCAGCAACGCCGCGUGAGUGAGGAAGUAUUUCGGUAUGUAAAGCUCUAUCAGCAGGGAAUAGAAAAGAAGGUACUUGUAAAAGAAGCAUCGGCUAACUACGCGCCAGCAGCCGCGGCAAUACGUAGGGGGCAAGCGUUAUCCGGACUUACUGGGUGUAAAGGGAGCGUAGGCGGAAAGGCAAGUCAGAGGUGAAAGCCCAGGGCUCAACGAUGGAACUGCUUUUGAAACUGGCAAACUAGAGUACGGGAGAGGAUAGAGGAAUUCCUGGUGUAGCAGUGAAAUGCGUAGAUAUUAGGAGGAACACCAGUGGCGAAGGCGUCUUACUGGCACGAAACUGACGUUGAGGCUCGAAAGCGUGGGGAGCAAACAGGAUUAGAUACCCGAGUAGUC
rnacentral:rRNA from 1 species